rnacentral:rRNA from 1 species
GGAGCUUGCUCUGGUUUGGUCAGCGGCGGACGGGUGAGUAACACGUGGGCAACCUGCCCGCAAGACCGGGAUAACUCCGGGAAACCGGAGCUAAUACCGGAUAACACCGAAGACCGCAUGGUCUUUGGUUGAAAGGCGGCCUUUGGCUGUCACUUGCGGAUGGGCCCGCGGCGCAUUAGCUAGUUGGUGAGGUAACGGCUCACCAAGGCGACGAUGCGUAGCCGGCCUGAGAGGGUGACCGGCCACACUGGGACUGAGACACGGCCCAGACUCCUACGGGAGGCAGCAGUAGGGAAUCUUCCGCAAUGGGCGAAAGCCUGACGGAGCGACGCCGCGUGAGCGAAGAAGGCCUUCGGGUCGUAAAGCUCUGUUGUGAGGGACGAAGGAGCGCCGUUCGAAGAGGGCGGCGCGGUGACGGUACCUCACGAGGAAGCCCCGGCUAACUACGUGCCAGCAGCCGCGGUAAUACGUAGGGGGCGAGCGUUGUCCGGAAUUAUUGGGCGUAAAGCGCGCGCAGGCGGUUCCUUAAGUCUGAUGUGAAAGCCCACGGCUCAACCGUGGAGGGUCAUUGGAAACUGGGGGACUUGAGUGCAGGAGAGGAGAGCGGAAUUCCACGU